AUUGAACGCUGGCGGCAUGCUUUACACAUGCAAGUCGAACGGUAACAGGUUAAGCUGACGAGUGGCGAACGGGUGAGUAAUGCAUCGGAACGUGCCCGGUCGUGGGGGAUAACACUUCGAAAGAAGUGCUAAUACCGCAUACGAUCUGAGGAUGAAAGCGGGGGACCGUAAGGCCUCGCGCGAUCGGAGCGGCCGAUGUUAGAUUAGGUAGUUGGUGGGGUAAAGGCCCACCAAGCAAACGAUCUGUAGCUGGUCGGAGGGGACGAACAGCCACACUGGGACUGAGACACGGCCCAGACUCCUACGGGAGGCAGCAGUGGGGAAUUUUGGACAAUGGGCGCAAGCCUGAUCCAGCAAUGCCGCGUGCAGGAAGAAGGCCUUCGGGUUGUAAACUGCUUUUGUACGGAGCGAAAAAGCUCCCUCUAAUACAGGGGGCUGAUGACGGUACCGUAAGAAUAAGCACCGGCUAACUACGUGCCAGCCGCCGCCGUAA
rnacentral:rRNA from 1 species